rnacentral:lncRNA from 1 species
CUCAGAGAUGACAAACGAUGUCGCUAAGCCGCGACAAUAUCAGGCUAUUAGGGUAAUAAUUUGUGGGAUUAGGAGUGGAAGUUGGACCCGAACUUGGACUUGGACUUGGGCUCGCGCACCUAUAGCUACCCCCAGGAGACCCAGAGGCAGAGGUAGACGUAGACGUAGAGUGCAUUCAAAGGCAUCGAAAGUUGCAUUUCCGCUGGUCCCAGCGGGUGCUACUGCUGCUACGGAUCCUUGGCCCCUUGGUGCGAACUACUUGCGCUUGCGGUUUUGGGAAAUUAUUUCGAAUUAUGACAUAUUAAGAUUUAUAUUUCAGCGCAAGGAGGGAAGGAGAGUGAGAGCUUGCCAAAAAAAUCCUUGUGAGCGCGCACAGGAGGCGGCCGCAAAACGCAACGCGACGGCUCCUUGGGUUCCGUGCUCCUGCUCGGGUUUCAUCCUUCUUCCUGCACAAUGGGCGCUCUCCCGACUUACAGCUGUUCCUUGGAGGGACCUCGACCUCGACAUCGACCUCGACUCGUGUAUCAUCCAGCGAGGCCGAAGCCAUUAUUAUUUCAUAUUUUGAUUUAUUGUUUUGCUUAUUGUUUUGCAAUACAUUCACAGCAGAUUUUUUGGCAAAUGCCGUUGCCGUUGCCGUUGCCAUUGCCAUUGCCUUGUUCUCAUCCUUUUGUUCCACUUCUGGCUCCGGCUUUUGCGG